rnacentral:rRNA from 1 species
UACGGAGGGUGCAAGCGUUAUCCGGAUUCACUGGGUUUAAAGGGUGCGUAGGCGGGCAUGUAAGUCAGUGGUGAAAUCUUCGAGCUUAACUCGGAAACUGCCGUUGAUACUAUGUGUCUUGAAUAUCGUUGAGGUUUGCGGAAUAUGUCAUGUAGCGGUGAAAUGCUUAGAUAUGACAUAGAACACCAAUUGCGAAGGCAGCAGGCUAAACGAACAUUGACGCUGAGGCACGAAAGCGUGGGGAU